UGGUGUCUCUUUACAACAAUAAAACCCU
rnacentral:piRNA from 1 species